AUGGCAGCCGCAGCCGCCGCCGCCGACCAGGCUACCAAUUUGCUGCAGAAGCUAUCCCUUGAUGCCAAGACUGAAGCCAUCGACGCGCCGGCGGCGAAGGAGAAGGCGUCCGGAGGGCUGGGCGGCAAGCUGAAUGGUGUUGCGGCGACUCGCAACCCACGGGCGGCCGAGCAGUGGGCAAAUCCACAGGAUUACAGCGAUGCGAGCAUGUAUUAUGGCGCCUACCCUGCUGCUUACUAUUGCGCAGGCUGGGGUGAUUAUUCCAUGUACUUGAAUCAGGAUGGAGUGGAAACACCUGCCGCUGGUGCCUAUGGUGACAUGUACUGCUAUCCUCAAUAUGGGCAUGAUGGUCAGAUGUAUGGGUCACAGCAAUAUCAGUACCCAUCAUCAUACCACCAGCCCCAGAAUACUGCCAGUAAGCCACAAUACAAGUCUAAAACUGACAAGCUAGCCCCAUCAAAGGAUAUUUCCUCUGCUGUUGCUGAUCCGCUGCCUGCUGUAGUCAGUGCUCCCAAAGCCACUUCAAACAGCGUUGAUGAGGUAAAAGGUCUGAAGAAGACAUCCACACCACUGAACCCGAGUGGGAACAAUGGUAGUUACCUGAACCAAAGUAGCAGACCAGCUUAUCCAUGGUACGGUGGCCAAAUCUACCAGGGAAAACAGCAGAAGCCUUCUAGUGGCAAUCCUACUUCAACCGAUUCAAAUCCUAAAAGCAAGGUUCAGUCGAAGAAUCAGAAUACCCAACCUCUUCCUCCUCUAAUGAGUUUACCUAACUCACCGUUGGCUUCAAUGUAUGCUGCUAAUGGAAUGUACAACAGCAGUGCCUAUGGUGGCUUUUGGUAUGGAUCCCAAUUUUAUGGGCCAGGAAUGUAUGGUGGGUGGAAUAAUCUGUCGGAUGGAAAAUACAAGCCCCGAGGGAGGACAGCAUAUGGAUCGUAUGGAUUCCCCAAUGAAAACUUGGAUGGUUUGAAUGAGUUGAAGAGAGGACCACGGAGUGGACUCUCUAAUAACCAACAUGGCUUUGUACCUGCUGCUGCGACAGCUGUCAAAGCACAGGAUGUUUCUGCUACUGAUGGCUCUAAUGCAGUUGUGCAGGAUCAGUACAACGGGUCUGACUUAGCUGACACUUACGAAAAUGCCAAGUUCUUUAUUAUUAAGUCAUACAGCGAGGAUGAUGUUCACAAGAGCAUCAAGUACAAUGUUUGGGCCAGCACACCUAAUGGAAAUAGAAAGCUUGACAGUGCUUAUCUAGAAGCUAAAUCUGGCAAUUCUCCUGUGUUCCUUCUCUUCUCUGUUAACACCAGUGGGCAGUUUGUUGGUCUCGCUGAGAUGGUUGGCCAGGUUGAUUUUGACAAGACGGUGGAACACUGGCAGCAAGACAAGUGGACUGGUUGUUUCCCUGUCAAGUGGCACAUUGUCAAGGAUAUUCCCAACAACUUGUUAAAGCAUAUCAUUCUCGAGUAUAAUGAAAACAAACCUGUGACAAACAGCAGAGAUACACAGGAGGUCAAGCUCGAGCAAGGCCUUCAGGUGUUGAAGAUUUUCAAGGAUCAUGUCUCCAAAACAUCCAUCCUGGAUGACUUCAGCUUUUAUGAUAACCGUGAGAAGAUAAUGCAAGAGAGGAAAUCACAGCGGCAGCAUCAACUGAAGAAGGAAUCGCAGAAGCCUGAAGUUACCGGAGAGAACAAAUCUGCGGCGGAAGACAAUGUGGUGGCGGCUGCCGCGAGUGGCGUUGCCCCGGAAGAUGCUAACCCCACAGCCGCAAGCUUGGCUGUCGCAAAUGGCUGCUGA
rnacentral:rRNA from 1 species